AUACGGAGGGUGCAAGCGUUAUUCGGAAUCACUGGGCGUAAAGGACGCGUAGGCGGGUUGGCAUGUCAGAUGUGAAAUCCUUCAGCUUAACUGUAGAACUGCAUUUGAAACUGCUAACCUAGAGUAUGGGAGGGGGAGAUGGAAUUAGUGGUGUAGGGGUAAAAUCCGUAGAUAUCACUAGGAAUACCGAAAGCGAAGGCGAUCUCCUGGAACAUAACUGACGCUAAGGCGUGAAAGCGUGGGGAGCAAACAGGAUUAGAAACCCUAGUAGUCC
rnacentral:rRNA from 1 species